UAUACGACCGUACCGCAAACCGACACUGGUGCGCGAGAUGAGUAUUCUAAGGCGCUUGAGAGAACUCAGGAGAAGGAACUCGGCAAAUUGACACCGUAACUUCGGAAGAAGGUGUGCCCUAUUAGUGUGUAGUGAACAACGAAGCAUGAAUGGGUUGCAAAAAAUCGGUGGCUGCGACUGUUUAUUAAAAACACAGCACUCUGCAAACACGAAAGUGGACGUAUAGGGUGUGACGCCUGCCCGGUGCUGGAAGAUUAAAUGAUGGGGUGCAAGCUCUUGAUUGAAGUCCCAGUAAACGGCGGCCGUAACAAUAACGGUCCUAAGGUAGCGAAAUUCCUUGUCGGGUAAGUUCCGACCUGCACGAAUGGCGUAACGAUGGCCACACUGUCUCCUCCUGAGACUCAGCGAAGUUGAAAUGUUUGUGAUGAUGCAAUCUCCCCGCGGAAAGACGGAAAGACCCCAUGAACCUUUACUGUAGCUUUGUAUUGGACUUUGAACAGAUCUGUGUAGGAUAGGUGGGAGGCUUUGAAGCAGGGUCGCUAGAUCUUGUGGAGCCAACGUUGAAAUACCACCCUGGUGUGUUUGAGGUUCUAACCUAGGUCCAUUAUCUGGAUCGGGGACAGUGCAUGGUAGGCAGUUUGACUGGGGCGGUCUCCUCCCAAAGCGUAACGGAGGAGUUCGAAGGUACGCUAGUUACGGUCGGACAUCGUGACGAUAGUGCAAUGGCAUAAGCGUGCUUAACUGCGAGACUGACAAGUCGAGCAGAUGCGAAAGCAGGACAUAGUGAUCCGGUGGUUCUGUAUGGAAGGGCCAUCGCUCAACGGAUAAAAGGUACUCUGGGGAUAACAGGCUGAUACCGCCCAAGAGUUCAUAUCGACGGCGGUGUUUGGCACCUCGAUGUCGGCUCAUCUCAUCCUGGGGCUGUAGCCGGUCCCAAGGGUAUGGCUGUUCGCCAUUUAAAGAGGUACGUGAGCUGGGUUUAAAACGUCGUGAGACAGUUUGGUCCCUAUCUUCCGUGGGCGCUGCAGAUUUGAGGAAGCCUGCUCCUAGUACGAGAGGACCGGAGUGGACACACCUCUGGUGUAUCGGUUGUCACGCCAGUGGCAUUGCCGAGUAGCUAAGUGUGGAAGAGAUAACCGCUGAAAGCAUCUAAGCGGGAAACUCGUUUCAAGAUGAGAUCUGCCGGGGCCUUGAGCCCCCUAAAGAGUCGUUCAAGACCAGGACGUUGAUAGGUCAGGUGUGGAAGGGCAGUAGUGUGUUAAGCUAACUGAUACUAAUUGCUCGUGCGGCUUGACCCC
rnacentral:rRNA from 1 species